rnacentral:misc_RNA from 1 species
GAGGAGGACGCCGAAGGUGGGGCUAAUGACUGGGGUGAAGUCGUAACAAGGUAGCCGUACCGGAAGGUGCGGCUGGAUCACCUCCUAACAGGGAGACAACAAAAUGUUAAAUAUUAAUUUUGUCACCUUAGGUCGAUCGGUAUCUCACAUCCUUAAAUUUAUUAAGGAUUUUAUUUCCUAAGUUUUUUCUAGGUCACACCCAUUACUUUUUCCUGGGCCAUUAGCUCAGGUGGUUAGAGCGCACCCCUGAUAAGGGUGAGGUCCCUGGUUCAAGUCCAGGAUGGCCCAUAUCUCUAUGUUGGGGGUAUAGCUCAGUUGGUAGAGCGCCUGCUUUGCAAGCAGGAUGUCAGCGGUUCGAGUCCGCUUACCUCCACUGAUCACCACCUCUUCCAUAAUUUAUAGAAGGGAAAUGUUUUGAGUCGUGAUCAAAUUCUGAAAGAAUCUAGCUUCCUAAUCAAAUUUAUUAAGAUGCUGGACUCAUUGAAUUUAUUUCAUUGUUUUCAGAGAACCUUGACAACUGCAUAGAUUAUUUUUAAAGACAAUAAGCAUCUUUAUUGAUGCAGAUUUAUUAUUUGUGCGAAUGCAUUAAUAACAAUUCUAUUAAGCUGAUGCUUCAAUUUUUGAAGUUAUUGGUCAAGCUACAAAGGGCUCACGGAGGAUA